GACGAACGCUGGCGGCGUGCUUAACACAUGCCAGUCGAACGGAAAGGCCCUGCUUUUGUGGGGUGCUCGAGUGGCGAACGGGUGAGUAACACGUGAGUAACCUGCCCUUGACUUUGGGAUAACUUCAGGAAACUGGGGCUAAUACCGGAUAGGAGCUCCUGCUGCAUGGUGGGGGUUGGAAAGUUUCGGCGGUUGGGGAUGGACUCGCGGCUUAUCAGCUUGUUGGUGGGGUAGUGGCUUACCAAGGCUUUGACGGGUAGCCGGCCUGAGAGGGUGACCGGCCACAUGAGGACUGAGACACCGGCCAGACUCCGUGUGGAGGCAGCAGUGGGGAAUAUUGCACAAUGGGCGGAAGCCUGAUGCAGCAACGCCGCGUGCGGGAUGACGGCCUUCGGGUUGUAAACCGCUUUCGCCUGUGACGAAGCGUGAGUGACGGUAAUGGGUAAAGAAGCACCGGCUAACUACGUG
rnacentral:rRNA from 1 species